UCACAUAAUGUCAACUCACUUCGCAUAUCAUGAUUGCUACCAGCCAGAAACAGGCUCCUUGUCACACGAGUCUUAAUUCUGCUUUUUAAACUGUUGUGGUUUUAUGAUUUUUAUUAUUGAUAUUCCACAUCAUAACAUCAUGUAGUGCACUGGGAAUUAAAGGGUUAAUGCUGCAGUUCUGUGGAUAGUCAACAAGUUCUGUUUACCGAUCUUUGAAGAGAAGCGAUGCAUUACAGCUCCCAGAAAACUUUGCUGUUCAGUUUCCUUUUUCCAGUCAUGGGAAAGAUAAAACUGAUUGGAAGUCACGGGAUGGCUCUCUUUGCUCCCUGGCCAAGAACCUUGGUUGUUUUUCUGAAUUCUGUCUGAAGAAAACCCAACUGAGAAUGAGUGGCAAAAGCAUCCUUUCUGACCACACCAGAGGCCUCAGGAGGGGCUACUUCAUCAUGAAUUCAAUUCACUAUGAAUUCAGGGCCCAAUGGGUACAGGUGGGCUUUUGGUAUCUUUUGGUAUAGCUACCUUGGACAUUAAGUAGCUGCCUACCUUGCCUGGUCUCUCAGAGAACCCUGCUGUUGUGAGGCUGCUAUGAGUAGAAGAACAGCAGGUGCCAACUGCUACCACAACAGUGCACUGGAAGCAAUAUUGCACCAGCCAGGAGUCCCUAAUUCCUAUCCACAAAUUGAUUCAUCAUCUGGAGAACCAAGGAGUAAUCUGUAAGACUCACUCAACAUUCAGUAGUCCCAUAUGGCCAAGGGAGUUCAGAGGCUAACAGUGGACUAUCAUGGCCUGAAUGAACUCAUGCCACAACUGAGUGCUGAUAUGCCAGACAUGACAGGAUUUCAAUACAAACUGGAGUCAAAGGCAGCCAAGUGAUAUGCCACAACUGAUGUUGCCAGUGUAUUCUUCUCAGUUCCUUUGGUGGCAGAAUCCAGUCCACAGUUUGCUUUCACUGGAAGGGACAUCCAGUACACCUGGAAUUGACCACCCUAGGAGUUGAAACACAGCCCUAUCAAUUGCCAUGGUCUCAUCCAGACUGCACUAGAAUAGGGGAAACUUCUGAACAUAUAUACUGGCAACAUCAUCAUGUGAAGCAACACAGUAGAGGAAGUUUUUGAGAUAGAGGAAGUUUCUGAGAAAGGGAAAAAAGAAUUCAAAUCCUUUGUCAUAAAGCAAAGUAAGGUCAAGCGACUUACUCAAGAGAUCCAAUUCUUUGGAAUAAAAUGGCAAGAUGGAUGUCAUCAGAUCCUUGUGGAUGGGAUCAACAAAAUAAUUGCCAUGUUCCCACCAUCUAGCAAAAAGGAAACACAGUCUUUCUUAGGUGUUUGGGGUUUUUGGAGAAUACAUAUUCAAGAUUACAGCCUGACUGUAAACCUUCUCUAUCAAGUGACCCAGAAGAAGAAUGAUUUUACAUGGAGUUCUGAGCAACAACAAGCCUUUGAACAAAUUAAGCAGAAGACAAUCCAUGCAGCAGCCCUUGGGCCAGUCCAGGCAGGACAAGAUGUAAAAAAAAUGUGCUCUACACUGUAGCUGGGGUGAAUGGCCCUACCUGGAGCCUCCAGCAGAAAGCACUGGGAGAGAUUCAAGUUUGACCCCUAGGGUUUUGGAGUCAAGGAUACAGAGAAUCUAAGGCCCACUACGCUCCAACUGAUAAAGAGAUAUGGACAACAUAUGAAGGGGUUCCGAGCUGCUUUGGAAGUGGUUGGUACUGAAGCACAGCUCUUCUUGUCAUCCCAACAGCCUGUGGUGGGCUGGAUUUUCAAAGGGAGGGUGGCUCCACACAUCAACAACUGAUGCUACACCAAGUGGGUCACACUGACCACAGAACAGGCUCGAAUAGGGAAUCCCAGUCAUCUAGGAAUUUUGGAAGAGGUCAUGGAUUGGCCUGACGGCAAAGAUUCUGGAAUAUCACCAGGGGAGGCGAUGUGUGCUGAAGCAGCCUCACUGCAUAGUAAAUUACCAGAGAAUGAGAAGCAAUAUGUUUUAUUCAGUGAUGAGUCCUGUUGUACAGUGCAAGAAUGUUGGAGGUGGAAGGCUGCUUUGUAGAGCCUUAUAUGACAAGUUUUCUCCUCAACCUGAUGGGAUACCCUUGGAUUUUGUGUUUUUUUCCUUUGAAAUAACCUGUCUGCACAUGGAUAGAUUGUUGUUUCCCCACUUCUUCUUUUUGUCUCCCAUGACACUUUUUAACCUAUACGUUUCAUCCUGUAGCCUUGCUACAAGGCAGUGCAGGUCAUCUACCUGCUCACAUCUCACACAUCUGUUCUGACUGCUGUCCUGUAAUGCCAGUGAAAGGCUCAUGCUCUCCACACAGCCUGAGGUGUGGACAACUACAUGAUUCCCUCUGAAUUCAGUCAGGGUUACAACAUCCUUCCUGACAGUGGUAGACAGAUACAUCCUUAUACAUCAGAAUGCUGUGGAAAAAAAAAAAAACAAAAAACCUGUCUGAAGGAUUUAAAGUAACAUUCUCUACUGUCUUCCAACAUUUUCAAGAACUGUAAUAGUUUUAAGUAGAAGGAGACUAAACUCAGGCUUCUAAAAUCAUUCUAGAUUUCUUCCCAGUGUAGAACUGAACAUACAAAAGCUGACAAAGGCAGUGAGUAGGUUGCUGUUGUAAGGCCAAAAUAACUGGUGGUUUGAAAGCCUGUGUCCAAAGGUGUUUUGCUCUGCCUAAUGACCAAGGGGUAGAUGUUGGAAGAUCAUUAUGUAACCUGAAAGUUAGCAGAAAUCAUGAUAGCAGUACAAAUCUAGUUUUGUGAAGGCUGUGGGGUCUCAUAGAAGAUGCCAGACUGCAGCUGGGAUGGCUGGUGGACUUUGGCUUUAUCUAACAUAGGUAGAGUGCUUCAUCUCAUGUACCUCUUCCUAUUCAGAUCACAGCUAGGCCUAGCUUUGCAAUACUUUUCUUAGAAAUCACCCCUAAUUAAAGUCUGUGUUGAAAAUAACAAGAGCUCUCCUUCUUGAUGCAAAUGGAAUCUGAUGCAAAAAGGAGGGUCGUUUAUCAUCCAGUUUUGAAAGAAGUAUGAGAAAACAAUUAUUUAACCCUCAGAAGGAAAAAUUCAUGAUAUGAUUCAACUUUCCUAUUUAGUUGCUGAGAGCAGUUUGGAUCUGAAUAUAAAGAAGUACUGAGUGAAAGAUAAAGGUACUUCUGAGCAGCCCUGCAUGCCAAUGACAGGUAAUUGUUAAUUUUUUUCUUGUAAUAGUGGGCUGAAGAGCAGGGUAUGUCAGUCUGCAGGAUAUAUGCAAAUGUUCUACAUCUAUUAGUCCUCUGAAGUAUUAAAAAACAUUGCUUGAAUGGUCAUCAUCACUAAGCAGAAAGGAAGGGAAGUUCUAAUGGAUCUUUCCACUCUAAAGGGGAAAUUUGCUUGGCAACAGUAGCCUCUCUUUUCCUGAACUCCUCGCAGUCCUCAUCCCUAACUGACAUAUGCUUUAAAGCACCAAGUCAUCAGUAUUCGCAGUAUUCUUAGUAUAACAUAGUAUACUGAAACAUUAGCCUAGCAUUUUACAUAUGAAAUGUUAGCAUUGCUAACAUUUGGAUGGUGCGAGAAAAAUGAGUAAUUGUGAGAAAGGUUGUUAGAUGGUUUAAAAUUAAGCUUGUAUUUCUUCAUUCAUACUACUUUCAAGACUGAGCCCACAUACCUGAAAUGAUACUGUUAAAUACUAAUCACUACUUAACACUUAUCAAUGUGUGAAACGCUGCAAUCCAAGGAGAAAAGGAAGGAAAAUCUAUCUUAAUGCUCCUGAGACUUUUGAGGGAAGAAAAAAAGAACAUUCCCGCUAUGACAUUAAAGUACAAUGAAAAAAACAUACCAUGUCUAUUCAUCACUAAAGAAGUUCAGACUUGUACUAAAAAAAAAAUUAAAACUUUUUGCGUAUCAUCUUCAGUCAAUUAGUACUUUACCUCAUAGUAAAGAAAAAUAAAAAUGCAGAUGCACAACAGUUGUUUGUAAGCAUUUAUCGGGUAACCACAUGAUGCAGUAUUAAAUAUGCAAAGCAAGAGUUCUGCUCAUGUCAGUUCACUAGGCGAGGUGAACUACUGUUUCCACAUCAGCAUUUCUUCAGUUUCUCUGGUGGUAUGCUGUCAGUUUUUGGGGCUCAAAGGUAACAUUAACUUGAUACUGUGAUGAAAAUAUGCCCUUGGAGUUAGCAUACUCACAUAAAAUAUUGUUUGUGAUGAGCUGGUAUUUCUGAUAUUUCUGAUAUUGUCUGACAGUUUAGGCAGAUUUUUGAUCACCCUUGACCACAGAGGAAGAACCUUUAAUAUGGUGAGCGGAAAUGCAGCUAUCUCCUGUAUAUUACUACGUACAGUACUAUGACCUCAUCACCUUAGUUUCUUGCUCUGGAAAACAAAUAUAUUAAAAUAUAUCACCCUCAUAAGUGUGACAGGAGGAUUAUUCAAUCUGUCUUUACAAAAAUCCACUGCUGGAAAAUGACAGUAAGGAUUUUUGAAAUUGUUUACUUCCAUUAAGAUUUUUCUUCUUCAGCCAUUCAUCUGCCUGCCAUUUUCAAAUAAAUUACACCUCCUGCUUUUGAGAAAUAUUUUAAUAAGCUUGUGAUAAGACGUAAAGUCGUUUGUUCAUUGUAUGAGGUGUUAUUUGUAUAAGAACAGACUCACGGCUAGGGAUGGGAAGAUUGGGAGCCUUCUUUAUGACUGUUUGUUCAUUGUAAAGGGAAGUGCUAAACGACCUGGCGGUUGGGGGUACAGGCUGCGGGCAAACAUCCUGUUAUGGUGAUAGUUGUCAGGCAAAUCGAGGACUGCUUUGUAAAAAGCCAAAUCGAGGAUUGCUUUGUAAAAAGCCCCCUUGUCAGGACAUCAGGAAAAUAAACAAUGUUGCAACAACGGAAACCGCUGGAAGCGGUGAAGAUAACUACGAACUUUAUCCCAGACGCCGACCCCCUAGCAACGGCCCACAUACACUGGAAGGUCACGUAUACAGGAACUAAGGACUGUAUAAAAGACGGGACUCAAACCUCGCUCAGAUUGCGUGCUGUUGUGGAAGUUGCGACUUCCCGGCCGCCCAGCGCUGCGUUUUGCUUGUGUUUUUGCUUACUCGAAUUAAUAAAUAUUUUUCUAUGAUCUGAUUCGAUGCGGUCUAAUUUAUAACAAGCUGAAGGUAAUUUAAAGAAGAGGAAAACUCUGAAAAUAACCUUAGUGUACGAAUAUAGCCCUUCACAGUUAAUUUCCUUAGCUGUACUUCCUAAAGACAGAGGACUUUGGAAAUGGAUAUUAGCUAAGCCUGUACAGUUAGGUAUAACUUCAUGUAGAUUCAAAAGUCUGUUGGAUCAAGACCAAGGGUUUUUUUUAAGUACAGGUUACUAUAAAUUGACAAGGUUAUCUCUGCUUUCUCAGACUAAAAUCUAUUUGAAGACCCAAGCAAUUAGAUUUUCAUUAUUUCACAAAAAAAUUAUAAAUUUUGUUUAAUAAUCUUGUCUUAAAAAUUGUCUUAAUCUUAAAAAAUCUUGUUUAUAAAUCUUGUCUCAUUCUUUCUAAAUUUCUAAAACUUAAAAGAAUUUCCAACUAAGUAGAGUAUGCAUACAAAAUAUGUAUGUGGACAUGUAUGUCGCAUCAGGGAUAUAAAAAAAAGCUAGGCAAAAUUAAUCUUAUGACUUCAGCAUAAAUAUUAAAAAAAGAUAAAACUCAAAUGCUUUUUUUAGAAUUGUUACUUUAAAAUUAUGGAUGUCAGUACCUUUGGCAGCUUGAAAAAUUAGACAUUUCAAUAUGGAACUUAAAAAAAAA